GGGCUUCUUCCUCCUGGCGAUUCCUCUUCAGAGCUCCGAAGUUGUCUUUGGCAAGGCAGUGUGGUGCAAAUAAAGUGAAGAAAUGAAUGCAUUCAAGGCUUACAAAGCAUGUGUACCUGUUGAAUGGAGCUCCAACUUAUGCGUAACCUUGGUGAGGGGUAUUCCCGGAACCAGGAGACUGCACAGGCGUACAUUAGAGGCGUUACGCCUUCGCAAGUGCAAUCGAACUGUCAUGAGGUGGAACACCCCGACUGUCAGAGGAAUGCUUCAACAGGUUAAAAGAUUGGUUGUGAUUGAGACUGAGGAGAUGUAUAAAGCCCGUAAACAGGAGGGGGCAAAACACCUGGCUCUUGGUUCCCCGUUGGUUGUCACUCACCUCCCUGCUUCUGUAAGUAAUUACUCCGAGUGACCUAUUCAGCCAAGGUUGGUUCCCAAGCCUCCUUGGGGUAUUGAAACAAACGGUCAUCGAAGUAUUCAAGUUUUAAGAAAGAUAUCUAUGUACAUUGAAAUGUUAUCGAGCACUUCUGUCGAGGUGUUGAUAGUUUUACUAGUCAAUGGGCACAAGCUUUUGUGGUUGGUGGUGCACUACUUGUGCUAUUUUCUCUGAAAUGUUUUUUGUUUAUGUGGAAUUGUGAAAAUAAUGAAAUCUUCUAUGGUAGCCAAAAAAAAAUCAUAAAUAGUGAAGUUUCAUCCAUGUUUGCUUAUAAAUUGGGAUGGUGGGAAAAGUGAUCUAAUGAUUUUCAUGCUUGGUUCAUUUAUUUUGCUUAAUGGUGUAUGGGUUAUGUUUGGUAUGUGGUCUUGGACUUCCUCACCAAAUCACUUGCUGAUUGGUAUGUCCACAAUAUGCGGAUACUAUUUGCUUCAAUGCCGCUUCAUGUCGGUUAAGUUUCAUUCCGUUUGAUAUCAAGCUCUGAGAAGCAAGUAGAAGAAUUGUUGCACGCCCUCUUGUUAUGUCAUCCAAUUCAAAUCCAAAGGUCGAAGUAUUGGACCUAACCAGAGAAUUUUGAUAUGAACUGGUCAUGAGCAGAAUUGCAUGCGGGGCCGAUGCGGAAUGGUGGCAUAGGUGAUCCAGAUCUUUUCUCAACGUACUAAACAGUUUUAAUUUGUUGCUGAAUACGUAUGGCCAUGGCAACAUUUUAUUUGGAUGUAUGCUUUUGGAAUUUAUGCUGUGAUUUGUUUACGAAUAACCAAUUUGCACAUUCUUUACUGUAGGGGAAAAAUAUCACCGCUGCCAAAUGAACCUUUAUGAUACAUUCUGUUGUCCUCGCAAGAAUCUUAAUUUGUGGUAGUUUUUUUUGGAGAUUAUGCUAAAAUUUGUUAAUAGAUAACAAAAUGCACAUUCUUUACUUGGGGAAAAAGAAUAACACUGCAGCCAAGUGAAGUUUAUGAGAUAUUUUGUUGUCUUUGAUGGUCAACUGAAACAAAAAAUGCAAACCUAAUACCUUGUUUUGUUUGGAUAAAAGUACCCAUACCCAUGGACAUCAAUACUACAUUCCAUAUAACUGGCAAGAUGUUUAUACAUUUGUACCUUCUUGAUAAGAGUGUAAGAUAAAUUUGAACUUUGGGUUAUUCCUGCCAGAGAUGGUUU